rnacentral:rRNA from 1 species
GAUGAACGCUAGCGGGAGGCCUAAUACAUGCAAGUCGAACGGUAAGGUCCCUUCGGGGAUACACGAGUGGCGGACGGGUGCGUAACGCGUACGAAACAUACCUUCAACAGGGAGAUACCUCCGGGAAACUGGAAAUAAUACCCCAUAGUAUUGAGAUAUCGCAUGAUAUUUCAAUUAAAGCUUUGGCGGUUGAAGAUUGUCGUGCGUCUGAUUAGCUAGUUGGUGAGGUAACGGCUCACCAAGGCGACGAUCAGUAGCUGGUCUGAGAGGAUGAUCAGCCACACUGGAACUGAGACACGGUCCAGACUCCUACGGGAGGCAGCAGUAGGGAAUAUUGGACAAUGGGCGGAAGCCUGAUCCAGCCAUCCCGCGU